GUUUCUGUAGCUCAGUUGGUUAGAGCGCUGCACCGUAAUCGCAGAGCAGCAGGUUCGAUUCCUACUCGGGACCU
rnacentral:tRNA from 1 species